GGUGACUCAGUGGUAGAGCACUUGCCUUGCAUGCAUGAGGCCCUGGGUUCAAUUCCUCAGCACCA
rfam:Dipodomys ordii contig_44238, whole genome shotgun sequence.